rnacentral:rRNA from 1 species
GACGUAGGGCGCGAGCGUUGUCCGGAUUUAUUGGGCGUAAAGAGCUCGUAGGCGGCUUGUUGCGUCAGCUGUGAAAACUCGGGGCUCAACUCCGAGCUUGCAGUCGAUACGGGCAGGCUAGAGUUCGGCAGGGGAGACUGGAAUUCCUGGUGUAGCGGUGAAAUGCGCAGAUAUCAGGAGGAACACCGGUGGCGAAGGCGGGUCUCUGGGCCGAUACUGACACUGAGGAGCGAAAGCGUGGGGAGCGAACAGG